AUGGGGAGAUCACCAUGCUGUGACAAGGUUGGCCUAAAGAAAGGUCCAUGGACAUCGGAGGAGGAUGAGAAGCUUCUUGCCCACAUCGAGGAGCAUGGUCAUGGGAGCUGGCGUGCAUUGCCUUCCAAGGCCGGUUUGCAGAGGUGCGGCAAGAGUUGCAGACUGAGAUGGACCAACUACCUGCGGCCGGACAUCAAGAGGGGCAAGUUCAGCUUGCAGGAAGAACAGACCAUCAUCCAGCUUCAUGCUCUUCUUGGCAACAGGUGGUCUGCCAUCGCGACGCACCUGUCGAGGCGCACCGACAACGAGAUCAAGAACUACUGGAACACCCACCUCAAGAAGAGGCUGGCCAAGAUGGGGAUCGACCCCGUCACCCACAAGGCCACCAACGGAGCUCCUGUAGGCACCGCAGCCAGUCUCAACCACAUGGCCCAAUGGGAGAGCGCCCGGCUCGAGGCCGAGGGGCGCCUGGCUCGAGAAUCCAGGAUGCGCACAGCAGCCUCCACACCAACCUCAAUCCCUCUGCAUCCAAUAAACCUGCCAGAGCCUACCACUCCCCCGUGCCUCGGCAUGUUGCAGCCAUGGCAGGGCGCGAAGCUAGACCUGGAGUCACCCACCUCCACACUGACGUUCAUCGGUAAUAAUAACAGUGUCAGCCUAGGGGCGUCUGAAAGCAACUCCGCGAUGUGGAAGUUGAGAAGCGAUGAUCCGGAGUGCGAAGAGAACAGCGUCCACAAGUUCCUCCGCGAGCAGCAGAUGCAAGGACUGGAAGGCGAGGAGAGGGGAAGGCACAUCAUUGGCUGCGAGGAGCCGUGGUUCCAAGGGACCGUAGGCGUCGGAGCUGGCUUCACAGACAUGCUGCACGAUGCGUUAGAUUGCUGGGGUGAGUCCAGCAAUGGCCAAGCCGAGCUCAGCGGGCAGGUCUCCGGGGACGGAGAGAGCGGCAGCAGCAGCUACUGGAGCGGCAUCCUCGGCAUGGUGGUCACCUCGGAGCUGCCACCAUCCCACCCCCACCCACCAGCAUUUCUCUAG
rnacentral:rRNA from 1 species